GGCUAACAAUGUGUGGUAGGAUACUCCCUUGUGAUUCUGGGCGUCAGCAGUAAGCCACAGCUCCCAGUCAGCCAUGUAAUCACAUGGGUUCUGAAAUGAGGAAGAAGAUACUUCAUAAUUUAGCAAAAACUGAAGAUUUCUCAAGCUAAUAAUAGACCUAUCAUUUUGAAUCAAAGAUUAUCUCCUGCAAUAGAUAGAAGAGUGAAGAGCCAGCCAUCCUUUACCUUCAGUUGGUCCAAGAGGCUCUGUAGGUUAGUGUAUCGCAUCCUUGAAGGAGAGGUGGUGUCCUGGCUUAUAUAAGAGAAACACAAAGAAACUGGUUUAGAGGUUUUAGAAAUUAUGUCUUAGAUGUCUAGGAAAAUCACCCCAAACAAUCAAAACAUUAUACAACCUUUUUAUUGAGAUAUAAAAUCUAUCACAGAAACCAGCCACUAAAACUCAAAGCAUGCACCAAUCCUUGUGGAGAUCUUUUAGGAAGAAUAUGAUCAAGUAUGAGAUAUAACAAUAAAACAGCGUGGUGUACUCUUCUCAUCUUCAAAAA